UGCGUAGGUGGUUAUUUAAGUCAGGGGUGAAAUCCCAGAGCUCAACUCUGGAACUGCCUUUGAUACUGGGUAUCUUGAGUAUGGAAGAGGUAAGUGGAAUUCCGAGUGUAGAGGUGAAAUUCGUAGAUAUUCGGAGGAACACCAGUGGCGAAGGCGGCUUACUGGUCCAUUACUGACGCUGAGGUGCGAAAGCGUGGGGAGCAAACA
rnacentral:rRNA from 1 species